AUAAAUUUUCAAAUAUUCUCUAAUAAACUUUAAAUCUGUUCUUAUCAGUUUAAUCUCUGAUAUGUCCUUGAUGUGAGGGCUGUAUAUUAGCUUAAUUUUUGAAGCAGGGGGGGUUAGAACUGAAGCUUGCUUUGUCUGCCCCAUGCAUCGACCUGGUAUUGCAGUGCUUCCAGGAACGGUGUGUCUCCU